GAUGAACGCUGGCGGCGUGCCUAAUACAUGCAAGUCGAGCGAACGGACGAGAAGCUUGCUUCUCUGACGUUAGCGGCGGACGGGUGAGUAACACGUGGAUAACCUACCUAUAAGACUGGGAUAACUUCGGGAAACCGGAGCUAAUACCGGAUGAUAUUUUGAACCGCAUGGUUCAAAAGUGAAAGACGGUCUUGCUGUCACUUAUAGAUGGAUCCGCGCUGCAUUAGCUAGUUGGUAAGGUAACGGCUUACCAAAGCAACGAUGCAUAGCCGACCUGAGAGGGGGGAUCGCCACCCUGGAACUGAGGCACGGUCCAGGCUCCUACGGGAGGCCGCAGUAGGGAAUCCUCCGCAAUGGGCGGAAGCCUGGCGGGGCAACGGCGGGUUGGUUGUGAAGGUCUUCGGAUCGUUAAACUCUGUUAUUAGGGAAAGACAAAUUUUGAAGGUACUGAGCACAGCUUGACGGUACCUAAUCAGAAAGCCACCGCUAACUACGUG
rnacentral:rRNA from 1 species